UACGGGGGGGGCAAGCGUUGUUCGGAAUUACUGGGCGUAAAGGGCUCGUAGGCGGCCAACUAAGUCGGAUGUGAAAUCCCCAGGCUUAACCUGGGAACUGCAUCCGAUACUGGUUGGCUUGAAUCCGGGAGAGGGAUGCAGAAUUCCAGGUGUAGCGGUGAAAUGCGUAGAUAUCUGGAGGAACACCGGUGGCGAAGGCGGCGACCUGGGACAAUACUGACGCUGAGGUGCGAAAGCGUGGGGAGCAAACAGG
rnacentral:rRNA from 1 species